UACAGAGACCUCAAGCGUUAUCCGGAAUCAUUGGGCGUAAAGCGUACCGAUAGGUGGUUUUGCCAGUCAGAAGUGAAAUCUCCGAGCUCAACUCGGAAUCUGUCUUUUGAAACUGCAAAACUAGAGGGGCAAAGAGGAAGCUGGAACGAACGGUGUAGUAGUAAAAUGCGUUGAUAUCGUUCGGAACACCAAUAGCGAAGACAGGCUUCUGGGUGCCACCUGACACUGCUAGGACGAAAGCGUGGGGAGCGAAUGGG
rnacentral:rRNA from 1 species